GAUGGAAAACAAACACGAAGCUUUCAAUAUUUUUCUGAUAUGGUACUUUACUAUUUCUUUUAAGACUUUAUGAUUGAAAAUGUGUUGUUGGCUCACUGUCUUUCCCGAAAAUGGCAACAAUGAACUGCACAAUAUACUUGGUUUUGGUUUAUUUGAGUUAAUAUAUGUCAUGUCAUGUUCCUUGCUCACAAUCCUUUGAUUUGGAGAAUGAAAAUUUCGAAACUUAUAACUUAGAGGAAGAUGAUCUUUCCACCAAAUCAAUUGACUAUGCCUGAUUAUCGGCAAGCUAAGGAUCAUCUCAAGUUGAGGUUAGGAUCCAAUAGUAUUGAUGAAACCAGAAUCUUGCUUGGGAAACACACCGAUAGUAACAACCAUAAUCAAGAGCUGGAAAUAGCUCCUUUUGGUAAUGUGGUAGGACCUGAUCAGGUUGCAGCUGAAAGCAAUUCACACAAGGAAGCUGGUCUAGGUGAUCCUGCAGCAGAUACAAUUUGUUACACUAAUCAUGCUUGGAGUGGAGAUGAAGAUGGUUUGAGAGAAAACGCUGAUAUUCUUUGCUUGAUAUUCUUUGUUUUCAGGAAUUGCUCACUUUUUUUGGGGCUUGCUAUCUGCUAAGUUUACUAUCGAAGGAACUUUUGGGAGAUUUUAAAGCAUGCGCUGAGAUGUUUAUUCCUGUAAAAUUACCUGUUCCUUUCUAAUUACUGUGGUUGCUAGUUUCCUAAUAGUUAUUUGGAUUUGCAUCUCUAACUUUCAGGUGCUUUUCAAGCUGGUUGUGAUAAUAGUGCUUGUAAUUGCAAAGUCUUCAGACAACUGCAUAAAGACAGUAUGAAGCUAUAGAGUGAUUUUUUUUUCUUUUCUUUGGGUGUAGGAGCAUUUAUGGAGAUAUUGGACAAGUCAUAUGUGAAAAGCAGGUUGGCUUUAGGACCUAUAGUAAACGUGCAUCACUAGGACCUAUAGUAAACGUGCCACUGUGAAGAAAACACCACAACUAGACAAUUUUAGUAGUUGGUGGGACCCACACAUCAGCAGGUGAAUGGUAAAUGGUACCUUUUAUUGUGGAUCACCCCUAGACCAAAGACCUAGUACCUUUUGUUGUUGUAAGUUCCUAAUUAGUUUGUUUCUAUAUUGCGUCGGAGCUAUCCGGAUGUUGAGCGGGGGUUCCUGGAAGAUAUAUUGGAAGGACUUCUUAAAUUGCCAGGGAAUAGGGAAUGUGCUAACUGCAAAAGCAAGUAGGUAUCUUGGUUGAAUUGUGAUAACAAAUGAUCUUUUAUUUCUAAAGCUGGGGGACAAGGAGCAAGUAAUGGGCACAUGUCAGUUACGGAUACUUCACAAAAUGAGACAUUGGACGCUGGACCUGGGAAUUUGAAGAUGUCUUUUUCAUCAACUUCUGGACAACUGAAACGUAUGACGAAUUAUAGAACAGGGGUGAAAGAUUUAGAUGUGGAACUUGAAAGUACUAAGCAAAAAAGUAAACAAAACCUACAACAAGCCAUCUUAAUUGAAAGGGAAAGAGUUACUUAAAUGCAGUGGGAUAUGCAAGAACUUCGUAGGAAAUAUUUGGAGAUGGAGU